GACGAACGCUGGCGGCGUGCUUAACACAUGCAAGUCGAACGAAGUGGCGAACGGGUGAGUAACGCGUAAUCAACCUGCCCUUCAGAGGGGGACAACAGUUGGAAACGACUGCUAAUACCGCAUACUGUAGGAGGGGGUUGCGUCUGCUUAGCUAGUUGGAGGGGUAACGGCCCACCAAGGCGAGGACCAGUAGCCGGUCUGGGAGGAUGACGGGCACCAUUGGGACUGAGACAAGGCCCAGACUCCUACGGGAGGCAGCAGUGGGGAGUCUUCCGCAAUGGACGAAAGUCUGACGGAGCAACGCCGAGUGAGGGAGGACGGCCUUCGGGUUGUAAAGCUCUGUUGAUCGGGACGCGGUACCGGAAUAGAAAGCCACGGCUAACUACGUGCCAGCAGCCGCGGUAAUUC
rnacentral:rRNA from 1 species